ACAAUGAAGAGUUUGAUCCUGGCUCAGGAUGAACGCUAGCUACAGGCUUAACACAUGCAAGUCGAGGGGCAUCAGGAAGAAAGCUUGCUUUCUUUGCUGGCGACCGGCGCACGGGUGAGUAACACGUAUCCAACCUGCCCUUUACUCGGGGAUAGCCUUUCGAAAGAAAGAUUAAUACCCGAUAGUAUAAUGAUUCCGCAUGGUUUCAUUAUUAAAGGAUUCCGGUAAAGGAUGGGGAUGCGUUCCAUUAGGUUGUUGGUGAGGUAACGGCCCACCA
rnacentral:rRNA from 1 species